AUUAACGUUGCUUUUCCCGACCAUCCCUAGCGUUGUUAUUACGCUUUUCCAUUACGAUUAUUGUACACUUUCUGUUAAGGGGUGGCAAAUUGAAAUUUGCAAGGACUGUAAUUAAUUGGUUGAUGUUUUAUACCGACUGGAGAUUUAGCAGGGUGGCCUGUGUCUUUACGCACUCCGUACCACACGUACACGUCAGAAAGCGAACACGCCAAAGAGAACUUGCUGCUUCAUCUCUAUGGUGGAGUUGGCUAAGUCGUAACGACAAGAAAUGGCCAGUCGGUCCCAAAUAAAUAGCCCAAUCUCACAGACCACAUCCAAGCGAAACGGUUGUGACUUUUUAAUAAUAGCAUGCAGCGUGGGGGAGCGUUAUGGCCCAGUCCCACAGAGCAUCAUCCACCAUCUCCUUCAAAGAUGGUCCGUAAGGUUUUGCAAUACUAAAAAUUUCCCGGUUUUUCCUUGACGGUGGAAUGUACGUUCCUAACCGCACGUUAGAGCUGGAAAUAAACCAAUGGUUGGCGUAUUCGACUUUUUCGAUAUUUUUAAAGCCUAGUACUUAGAUCGACAAAAACCGUUCGCCUGUAAGAGUUUUCCAAUCUCAAUUUGAACGCAUUAAAAGCGGGUCUAGCCCAAGGAACUGGUUUUAUACUGAUGUAUCCAAAACCUCAACCUUCUUCUACAUUCGCCGUUGUCAACAACGAAAACGGUAUUAUCGCAGGAGGCACCCUAACCGACUUUAGCUCUAUGUUUACCAUUGAGGAUUCCGCAACCUUGCAAAGCCUGUCAGAACGCCGCCAACGCCAAAGGGAAAUACUCAACAUGCAACGACAAUCUCUUCACUAUAUCUGCUCUGGAAAAGCACGGACAUCCCGAUCCUACAAUUUGCAGGAGAACAAUGCUUGUUGUCCAACGUAACAACUCCAACUCGCAACAUGAGCACGCCACCAACCUUCCAUUUCACACCUUCCAUUUCACGCCAAGCGAAAGCAGCUCGCAGGGUGGGAAAACUAUGUUCACAAAUACAAAACAAUGAACGCAGCUCAAAAAAAACCACAUGUCCAGCCUCAGCAGACUUGAAUGCAGACUUUUAUACGCCCACCAAACCUGUUACAAGGAUCUGCUCGCCCCUCUUGCCGCUUCUGCAGAGCACCUGCUGGACUUCUGUCAGACUUUAGGCCUAUCCGUAAUUCAAUUUUUGGCCCCCGCACACUCCCUUCCUCUCUCCUCAUAUCCCCUUCCUUGACAUACUUAAAGAUAAUUCACCAAUUUAUCAAAAGUGCUCACAUUCAGAUUUAAUAACUAAACAUCUUACUAUAAGCCAGGCCGAAGCAACCAUAUAUUAACUUAAGUAUUAUAUACUUGAAUUCAAUUAUUAAAUUAAUAAAAUAAAGAAAGUUA